ensembl:snRNA U6 U6 spliceosomal RNA
GUACUCACUUUGACAGCACAUAUACUAAAAUGGGAAUGAUACAGAGAAGAUUAGCAUGGCGCCUGUGCAA